rnacentral:rRNA from 1 species
CUCUGACACAGGUGCUGCAUGGCUGUCGUCAGCUCGUGUCGUGAGAUGUUGGGUUAAGUCCCGUAACGAGCGCAACCCUUGUCCUUAGUUACCAGCACGUUAUGGUGGGCACUCUAAGGAGACUGCCGGUGACAAACCGGAGGAAGGUGGGGAUGACGUCAAGUCAUCGUGGCCCUUACGGCCUGGGCUACACACGUGCUACAAUGGUCGGUACAAAGGGUUGCCAAGCCGCGAGGUGGAGCUAAUCCCAUAAAACCGAUCGUAGUCCGGAUCGCAGUCUGCAACUCGACUGCGUGAAGUCGGAAUCGCUAGUAAUCGUGAAUCAGAAUGUCACGGUGAAUACGUUCCCGGGCCUU